AUGGGUUGCAUGAUCUUCAUGGUUGGCGUGGUGGAGCAAGGAGGGAGGUGGAUAGCGAUGGGGGAAGGAGAAGCAAGGUUGGAGCUCCAGGCUCUACGUUGGCGUGCCGCUGGAGUGGAUGAGUGGUCAUUCGUUGCGCGCCGGCCGUCGUCCCCGUCCCCAAUCUGGGCUGCCUAUCGUGAGUGCUUGAUGUUACCUCCAUCAGCUGAUGAGGCGAGGCUGCUGCUGCUGAAAAAUGGUGCUGCUACCGGAGGCAGUGGAGAGGCUUUCCGUGGACCAACUAUGGUGUGGUUCAGAUAG
rnacentral:rRNA from 1 species